UUCACCUACGGAAACCUUGUUACGACUUUUACUUCCUCUAAAUAGUCAAAUUAGGUCAUCUUCUCAGCAUCAGUCGAGCGGCAAAGACACUACAACGACGCCAAUCCAACGACCUCACUAAACCAUUCAAUCGGUAGUAGUGACUGGCGGUGUGUACAAAGGGCAGGGACGUAAUCAGCGCAAGCUUAUCACUUGCAUUAACCAGGAAAUCCUCGUUCACGGGGAUUAAUUGCAAGCCCCGAUCCCAGUCACGACGGUGAUGAAACAGUUUGCCCAACACUUUCGGGCCAGGUUUCCAUAAUCGCUGGCACCGUUAAUAUAGCGCACGUGUGGCCCCGGACAUCUAAGGGCGUCACAAACCUGUUAUUGCUCAAUUUCGUGCGACUCGUGUAAGUAUUUAGCCUUGGAUGGAGUUUACCACCCAUUGGAGUGCAUUCACAAACAACCCGACUCCAAGGGUAGCUCAGAGCAAAACUGUCACACUUGAUCUCUGCCCCCACGGGCCUUUCACCCUCUUUGGGCCAGAAUGGGAAGCCGUACUCAUUGCUGAACUUGGGACAGAGCAGUAAUGUCUGAAGCCACCCUAAACACCACAUUGCCUUACGAUCAAUGGUCGGUUUUGAGAUUUUGAUUAUUUUCUUUUUAAGGACGUUUCUUUUUUUCUCUGUGUCUUUUGCAUAAUGUUUCGAUGGCUAUUGUCAAGGUUUCGAAGUGUUAUGGUGUGAAUGUCUGUUGUAGCUUCCUCUUUUGGUCUUCUAUGACAUGUGGGUAUUUGCGGAUCCUGUAAUGUGUGUCCAUUAUCAUUAGAUGAACCAUUUUUCUUCCACUUUGCUCAGCUAUUUUCCAUUCUAAUGGGCAGUUGAUUGGAGGUCUGUAUCUUACACUUGUUGGCAGAACAUGCUGGCGAAUGCACUCGUGGAGAAAAUAUAGUUGUUCUCGAGUGGAAGCUUGACUUUUGGAGAAAUUCUCCCAUUUUCGAAAAACGAGAAGCGUACUACGCUCCUAUGAUUUUGAGAUUGUGGAGAAGAUUUGUAGCUCAGGUAGGUGAUUUUGAUGUUGGUUUGUUCUCUGAGCUGGAUGUUCAAAGUCAAAGCCUACUUGAACUCAUCGAUCUAUGUCUAACAACAUAUUUCCAAUUCAAUAACAAAAUCAACAAACAAACGAAAGGGACACCAAUGGGAUCACCAAUAUUAGGACUCAUCGAGGAUGCAGUAAUGCAACGACUAGAAACCACAAUUCUACCAGUGAUCAAACCAAAAAUUUGGAUUCGUUAUGUAGACGACACAUUCGUCAUCGUCAAAAAAGAGGAACUAGAAAACACCUACAAGCAGAUUAACAAUGUCUUCAAUAACAUCAAGUUCACAAAGGAACAAGAGUCGGACAACAAGUUACCAUUCUUAGAUGUAUUAAUCACCAGAACUGACACAGGAAAACUAGAGACUCAAGUGCACAGGAAGCCGACCCACACUGAUCAAAUUCUCAACUACAAUAGCAACAACCCAAGAACUCACAAUAUCAACUGUGUACGAACUUUGUUCAAGAGGGCGAGAACACACUGAAAUACAAUCACAGCACAAAAAAAUGAAGAAAAACACCUGAAAACCAUUCUUCAAAAGAACGGCUAUCCAAUCAGUUUCAUCAAAAAAUACCAGUCGCACACACCAUGAGAAACGAAAUCAGGUAUGAAAAUCAACAAAAGAAUCACCCUACCAUACAUAAAGGGCAUAUCGGAAACGACAACAAGGCUGCUGAAAACCUUCGGAAUAGGUGUAGCCCACAAACUAACGAAGUCCCUCCACUCAAUUCUAUGCAAACCGAAAGAUGAAAUGGCAAAAGAGGACAAAACAAACAUCAUCUACAAGAUAAAUUGUACCAACUGCAACAAACACUAUAUUGGACAAAGCGGACGCCCCCUGCAUCUUCGUCUACAUGAACACCAACUAGCAGUCAAACGCCACGACAUUUCUUCA
rnacentral:rRNA from 11 species